rnacentral:tRNA from 1 species
CUAGUAUUAGUUUAAGUAGAAUAGGGACUUUGGGAGUCUCAGGUGUGGGUCCCACCAAAUACUAGA